ACCUCCUUAUCUCCUCUAAUUAACAAAUGACAACAAUCUGCUCAACAAGUGUAUAAAGGGAGACCACUUGUAAGCGUUAAUGUGAAAUUUAACACGCGUUAACUUGAGUUUAAUAGGUUUGUUAUUAUACAUGUUUUCAUUAUCAAUAUUGUUUUUCCUCAUUUAAUCGAAUUGAAAACGAAUAUUUGGUGCUAUGAUAACAAUUAUAUAAGUUGAAUUCGGUCAUGAAUUGAAAUUUCUAUCAAACAAUGAUUAAAAUAUUUGAACAAAAGAAGGAAAAUGAAAAAUUUAUCAUGAACUUCCGAUUACCUAUGAGUUAAAGCCUGAGAUGGAUUGUAGUUUCAUGUAAAUGGAUCAAUGACAUUCAUCUAGUACAUGUAUGUAUAGAAACACGAAAAUAAGGUAUAAAUCGCGACUCAGUGUCUCCCCUGCGAAUGUUAUUGUCAUUUUGAUUUAGACAACGUGGUUUUAUUUGACCCUUUUAGUUUCGCUUCAUCAAACGGUGGAUAAAAUAAUUUCUAGAAAUAAAUGUGACAAU
rnacentral:sRNA from 1 species